rnacentral:tRNA from 1 species
UCCGGGCGGGGGGCGUCCGGCGGGCGCGCCGGCCCGGCUGUUGACCGAGCGGGGCGUGGAUGAUGCCGCGCGUUUGAAA